GCGGUUAUAGUAUAGUAUGGUAGUAUACUGGCCUUCCAAGCCAGUCGCCCGGGUUCAAAUCCCGGUGGCCGCA
rnacentral:tRNA from 1 species